GAUGAACGCUGGCGGCGUGCCUAAUACAUGCAAGUCGAGCGAACAGACGAGGAGCUUGCUCCUCUGACGUUAGCGGCGGACGGGUGAGUAACACGUGGAUAACCUACCUAUAAGACUGGGAUAACUUCGGGAAACCGGAGCUAAUACCGGAUAAUAUAUUGAACCGCAUGGUUCAAUAGUGAAAGACGGUUUUGCUGUCACUUAUAGAUGGAUCCGCGCCGCAUUAGCUAGUUGGUAAGGUAACGGGUUACCAAGGCAACGAUGCGUAGCCGACCUGAGAGGGUGAUCGGCCACACUGGAACGGAGCCGCGGUCCAGACUCCUACGGGAGGCACCAGUAGGGAAUCUUCCGCAAUGGGCGAAAGCCUGACGGAGCAACGCCGCGUGAGUGAUGAAGGUCUUCGGAUCGUAAAACUCUGUUAUUAGGGAAGAACAAAUGUGUAAGUAACUAUGCACGUCUUGACGGUACCUAAUCAGAAAGCCACGGCUAACUACGUG
rnacentral:rRNA from 1 species